rnacentral:rRNA from 1 species
UGAGGAAUAUUGCGCAAUGGGCGAAAGCCUGACGCAGCAACGCCGCGUGAGGGACGAAGGCCUUCGGGUCGUAAACCUCUUUUCUGGGGAAAGAGCAAGGACGGUACCUCAGGAAUAAGUCUCGGCUAACUACGUGCCAGCAGCCGCGGUAAAACGUAGGAGGCGAGCGUUAUCCGGAUUUACUGGGCGUAAAGCGCGCGCAGGCGGUUUCGUGAGUCGGACAUGAAAGCUCCUGGCUUAACUGGGAGAGGCUGUUCGAUACUGCGGGACUUGAGGUUGGGAGAGGGGUGUGGAAUUCCCGGUGUAGUGGUGGAAUGCGUAGAUAUCGGGAGGAACACCUGUGGCGAAAGCGGCACCCUGGCCCACACCUGACGCUGAGGUGCGAAAGCGUGGGGAGCAAACAGG